GUCUGGGUGUGUGGCUGUAAAAUUCCAUUGAAGGUCUGGACCUCCCUGGUAUCCACCCAUGGGCAGGGCCUACAGCCUCUCUCACCUGAAGCUGAUUGAAGCAAUCAGGUUGGAGAUCUAAGCUGCUUGCUGACACUGCAUCCUCGCCAAUUCGUCCACUACCCUAUUUACUCCAGGAAAACUCCAUCACACUGAACCACUCGUCUUGGAAAUCUGGUUAACCCGCCUGCUUUCAGAAUCAUCUCCUUGCCUCACCUGCCUGCCCUCCUGCCCUUACACCACCUCUGGACCUUCGUCGCUCAGGACAGCUGCCACACACCACCAAACCCACCCGGACCGCAUCACCUCUCCCUCAACGCUUCCAUCUCUCACCUGCACAUACGUACCUAAUCACCAGCCAGCUGCCGCUGCUUUCUUGGACCUGUCCCCUGCUUAUCCCCACUCCCCUGGCCAAUACCCUCACACCCCACGUGUCAAGCCUUAAAUCCAAUCCACGUCAUUUUUUGGUGUUAGUAAAUAAA